CUCCGUCCGCCAGCGCCGCCCUGGCCUCCACGCUCUUCUCCUCCACCGCCUUCCUGACAUCCGGCGCACCGUCCAUGAGCUGCAGCACCCGCGUCUCAACCUCCUCCGCCGUGACAAAGCCGUCCUCCGCCUGCUCCACCCUCAGCGCGAGCUUCAUGUCCUCCACCAGCACCACCCUAUUGAAAUGCUGCUCCGCGUACAUGGGCCACGCCGCCAUGGGCACCCCCGCGCACACCGCCUCCAGAAUCGAGUUCCACCCGCAGUGCGUCACGAACCCCCCCACCGCCGCGUGGUUCAGCACCGCCACCUGCGGGGCCCACGACUUCACCACCAGCCCCCGCUCCCCCGUCCUCUCCACGAACCCCGCCGGAAGGAGCGUCUCCAGGUCCGGCUCCGGCGGCCGCAGAAACCGCUUGGUCUUGU
rnacentral:lncRNA from 1 species